UAAUUAGUUGCUGUCAUUGAGGGAAGUCCCAUAUGCCUAGGCAAUUCAGGCUGCUGCUGUUGAAGCUUUGGCUGCUGCCCCAGAUGAGACACUGCCCAUUGGAGGUGAUAAAUUUUCUCAUGCAUGCAUUUGAGUUUGGCAAGAAUUUGGAAUCUUAAUGACGGCUUUGGAUUAAUUUUGAGUGGCCAUGCAUGGUGUAGGAAAUGGGUAUCGAGAAGUGGAGGUAUGGUGUUGAGA
rnacentral:lncRNA from 1 species